UCUAUCUCCUUGAGAUAUAACCUUCAUAUUUGGUAUGCAUGUGUAUAUAGACAAGGCCUUUCCAUACGCACACAAUUUUUUACCCCUGUGACCUUGAACUUUCGGUCCGCGUUUAGGUUUCGAAAUCUGCGUUUAGGUUUCGAAAAAAGCUCAUAACUUAUAUUAAGCAUUUAUAGGGGGCAUAAGUCAUCUAAUGGUGACAGCUCUUGUUCUGUUUUAUUUACAGGUAAAAGGACGACAUUAUAUGUUUGGCUUAUUUUGUUUUUCAGAUAAAUCAAGAGUUGUGCUUAACGUGGGACAUAAAACACAAAGUAACAUCUGCAUGCCACCCACAAACAAACGGCCUUGAUGAAAGGAUCAAUCAAACAAUCAAAAGGGCCUUAAGCAAAUUGGUCAACGACAUACAGAACGAUUGGGAUAAAAGGCUUGAUGAGGUUCUUUUCUCAAUUCGGACCAAAAAACAGUCGUCAACAAAAAUCAGCCCAUUCUUCCUUCUGUACGGACGGGAAGCGAUGUACCCGAGUCAGUUGCAGACUGUGGCUCUUGAUGACAUAAUAGGUGUAUUGUCCGACCCAGACAUGAUUGAAAAACAAUCCAGUGUGCGAAAGCAACAAACAGAAACCGCAGGAAAAGUUGUACUGGACAAUAUGUCUAAAGCCAAAAAGACUUAAUUCAAGCCAACAACGAAAAAAGAAAAUUUAAUCAAAUACAUGUUGGGGCUAGGGUGUUAUAGUUCAAUGCUUCGAGGGCGGUGAGAAAAGCCAAAGGAAAUCUUGAAAGUAAUUACACUGGACCAUAUGUUGUAGACAAUAUUAAAGGGAAUAUUGCAACACUAAAAUCAAUGAGUGGACAGGUUUUGAAGUCUGGAGUGUCCCUUAGCAACUUAAAAAUAUUUGUGGAAUCAGCAGUGAAAUCAGCAGAAAAAUGCUUAAAGCUUCAAACAGGAGUCGGCAGAGUAAAUACAAUACAAUGUAUUUGCAGUUUUACAGAAAAGCUAAGUGUUUGUCCAGUCAGCUCCUUCAUUAAUGAGGCUUUAAAACUAAAUCAAGGUAAAAUACACUUAAUACGAACAAGUAA